AACGAACGCUGGCGGCAGGCCUAACACAUGCAAGUCGAGCGCACUUUCGGGGGAGCGGCGGAUGGGUGAGUAACGCGUGGGGAUAUGCCCUUCUCUACGGAAUAGCCUCGGGAAACUGAGAGUAAUACCGUAUACGCCCUGUGGGGGAGAGAUUUAUCGGGGAAGGAUUAGUCGCGUUGGAUUAGGUAGUUGGUGGGGUAAUGGCCUACCAAGCCGACAAUCCAUAGCUGGUUUGAGAGGAUGAUCAGCCACACUGGGACUGAGACACGGCCCAGACUCCUACGGGAGGCAGCAGUGGGGAAUCUUAGACAAUGGGGGCAACCCUGAUCUAGCCAUGCCGCGUGAGUGAUGAAGGCCUGAGGGUUGUAAAGCUCUUUCAGCUGGGAAGAUAAUGACGGUACCAGCAGAGGAAGCCCCGGCUAACUCCGUG
rnacentral:rRNA from 1 species